rnacentral:tRNA from 1 species
AUGGCCGCCAUCAGGCCGGCGUGCUGACGCCGCAACAGGCGGCGAUGAUGCUGGUGGCGUUCGAUGUGCUGGCGACCAGC